rnacentral:rRNA from 1 species
UACGUAGGGGGCUAGCGUUGUCCGGAUUUAUUGGGCGUAAAGAGCGUGUAGGCGGCUAGGUAGGUCCGUUGUGAAAACUCGAGGCUCAACCUCGAGACGCCGAUGGAAACCAUCUGGCUAGAGUCCGGAAGAGGAGAGUGGAAUUCCUGGUGUAGCGGUGAAAUGCGCAGAUAUCAGGAAGAACACCCGUGGCUAAGGCGGCUCUCUAGUACGGUACUGACGCUGAGACGCGAAAGCGUGGGGAGCGAACAGG